GCGGGUGAUAUUUGCUGUUGUGAAUAUUUGAUAUGACAUUUUUUAAAAGUGGUUAGAAUGGAGUUUAUUUACUGUUACUACUGUCUUACACGUUUUGUGUGUUUGUCCAGACAUUCAUUCUGCAGGAGCUGGAGUUGCUGGAUGCUGAGUACAUCAGACCAUCUGUGGAAGCUACAGGAGAAGUGUUGAAUCCAGUGGGGAUAUUGAGAUCUUGCUGACGCACCCAAACUACACCUCUAUGGAUGAGAAACAGGUGACCACCAAACUCCACAAUGCCUACUGCUGCUUUGGUACUGUAAUGAUUAAUAUACACUAAGGUAAGUGGACAUUGGGUAAGUGCAAUCUCCAUUUAAGUGCUUUACAGUUCACCAGUCCAAAUAUUUUCUUCUUAUUUGCCAUGUAUGUCUUCAUGCUUUGGUUUACUGCAUGCAUUCAUGACAGCCCAAGGGCAUUGCAUUCAACAGAAGAUGAUCUCUUAUGACUUUCAUAUGCUCAUCACAUCCUUUCUUUGUUCUUCCUCUUCAAGCCCAAACUCCUCCAUGCCGUGGUUGAACAUUUUGAGUCCAUUGUGUUCAUUACAGACACACUGUCCAAAAAAGACACCAAAUUCAUGGGAGUCUGCCAGCUGCAGCCAAAUGAUGAAUAGGAAUAUCUUCACAGGCACAUUGAUAUCAGGUGGGUAUCAAGUUAGCUAGUUAAACACACCUCAUCACAUGUUGUUCUGAUGACUCCGUUACCUGAGGAA
rnacentral:lncRNA from 1 species